GACGAACGCUGGCGGCGUGCUUAACACAUGCAAGUCGAACGGAAAGGCCCUGCUUUUGUGGGGUGCUCGAGUGGCGAACGGGUGAGUAACACGUGAGUAACCUUCCCUUGACUUUGGGAUAACUUCAGGAAACUGGGGCUAAUACCGGAUAGGAGCUCCUGAUGCAUGGUGGGGGUUGGAAAGUUUCGGCGGUUGGGGAUGGAGUCGCGGCUUAUCCGCUUGUUGGUGGGGUAGUGGCUUACCAAGGCUUUGACGGGUAGCCGGCACUAGAGGAUAACUGGGCAACAUGUUGUUGAGGGUCGAGCCAGACUCGUAGGGGAGGUAGAAGUGGGGAAAUUAGCACAAGAGGCGGAAGCCGGAUGCAGCAACGUAGGGAAGGGGAUAUGGGCCUUGUGAUUGUAAACCGCGUACGUCUGUAACGAAGUGUGAGUGACAGUAAGGUGUAAAGAAGCACCGGCGAACUAGGUG
rnacentral:rRNA from 1 species